GGGUUUUUAGGUCAUUUCCGGAAGCACCUUGAGUGUUUCUGAGGAAAGUCCGCCCACUUUUGUAGCGACUUUCGAAAGGAAGAUCCAGAAAUGGAUGGCAACGGCUCAGCAACGAAACCUCCGCUGUCAAGGAUGAUAGAUGCGACGUUUCUGGAGACAGAAAUCAGUUAACCUCUGGACGUUUCAGACGGAAAGGGUGAAACGGCAAGAUCCUCGCUUGUGUAAGUCGAAAUUCGACGCGCAGUCAAAUAUGACCACUGACUAUCGCGAUGCCGCUCGUGCAUCGUUUGGGUCACACAGAAGGCGGCUUACAAAAACCC
rnacentral:RNase_P_RNA from 1 species